CCUACGGGAGGCAGCAGUGGGGAAUAUUGGACAAUGGGCGAAAGCCUGAUCCAGCCAUGCCGCGUGUGUGAAGAAGGCCUUCGGGUUGUAAAGCACUUUCAGUGGGGAAGAAAGCCUUGGGGCUAAUACCCUCGAGGAAGGACAUCACCCACAGAAGAAGCACCGGCUAACUCCGUGCCAGCAGCCGCGGUAAUACGGAGGGGUGCGAGCGUUAAUCGGAAUUACUGGGCGUAAAGCGCGCGUAGGCGGUCUGAUAAGCCGGUUGUGAAAGCCCCGGGCUCAACCUGGGAACGGCAUCCGGAACUGUCAGGCUAGAGUGCAGGAGAGGAAGGUAGAAUUCCCGGUGUAGCGGUGAAAUGCGUAGAGAUCGGGAGGAAUACCAGUGGCGAAGGCGGCCUUCUGGACUGACACUGACGCUGAGGUGCGAAAGCGUGGGUAGCAAACAGGAUUAGAUACCCCAGUAGUC
rnacentral:rRNA from 1 species